ensembl:lncRNA
CUUUCUCCAUUUCUACGAAUCAGCCCACCUCUGAUAAGCAAAGGACCAAUCAGCAGCGGUUUCAAUGUAGGACGCACGCAAAGACCAGAAGAACCAUGUGACAUCUGCUCUGAGCGCAGAGCCAUGAAGCUUUGUCUGACCUGCUCUGUCUACUACUGUGAGAAACACAUGAGGAAGCACUUCAUAAUACAAGCACUGAGGAGACACGUCAUGGUGGAUGUCACUGAAGAAGUCGUACUACAGAGAAACACCUCGGAGAAGAAGAGAGAGGAGCAGGAGGAAGAGGGAAGGAGACAGGGACAGGAGGAGGGGCUGAGGUGGCAGACGAGGAAGGAGGACUUUAGGGAAGAGGAGAGGGGGCACCAGGAGGCUGUGGAACAACAGUGCAGAGAGAAGGAGAGGAAGAGAGAGGAGAAGGAGGAAGAGGGAAGGAGACAGGGACAGGAGGAGGGGCUGAGGUGGCAGACGAGGAAGGAGGACUUUAGGG